rnacentral:rRNA from 1 species
GACGAACGCUGGCGGCGUGCUUAACACAUGCAAGUCGAACGAAGUGGCGAACGGGUGAGUAACGCGUAAUCAACCUGCCCUUCAGAGGGGGACAACAGUUGGAAACGACUGCUAAUACCGCAUACUGAAGGAGGGGAUUGCGUCUGAUUAGCUAGUUGGAGGGGUAACGGCCCACCAAGGCGAUGAUCAGUAGCCUGUCUGGGAGGAUGGACGGGCACAUUGGAACGGAGACAGGGCCAGGAUUCUACGGGAGGCAGCAGGUGGGAAACUUCCGCAAAUGAGGGAAAGCUGAAGGCGCAACUCCGCGGGGGGGAUGAAGGGCCUCGGGUUGUAAAGCUAUUUUAAGCGGGACGCGUUACCGGAAUAGAAAGCCACGGCUAACUACGUGCCAGCAGCCGCGGUAAUUC